rnacentral:rRNA from 1 species
UACGUAGGGGGCAAGCGUUGUCCGGAUUUAUUGGGCGUAAAGAGCGUGUAGGCGGCCAGCUAAGUCCGCUGUGAAAACUCGAGGCUCAACUUCGAGCUGUCGGUGGAAACUGUCUGGCUAGAGUCCGGAAGAGGAGAGUGGAAUUCCUGGUGUAGCGGUGAAAUGCGCAGAUAUCAGGAAGAACAUCCGUGGCGAAGGCGGCUCUCUGGGACGGUACUGACGCUGAGACGCGAAAGCGUGGGGAGCGAACAGG